ensembl:lncRNA
ACCCACAAGCAACCAACUGUCAAAGAGAGACCUUUUAGUGGUCCUGCUCAAUCAUUGGUCAGCACAGCAGUGAGCCCCGCCCACAAGCAACCAGCUGUCAAGGAGGGACUGUUAGUUGAGAGGAUUCAGCCAACCGAAUCAGGCAGUGGAGUGGUGGUCGUCAGGCAGAGAGUGAGGCAUCUAAAAUGGAUAUCUGCUUGUGAAUUUUCUCCAGCACAUGGCACAUACCUGACACACAGUAGCUCAGCACCAGCCUUCCUGAAGACUGUUUAUGGCCUGGGCCACAGAGCCAUUUGUAACUUCUACAACACUUCUACAACGCAGCUGCCUCCAGGAGUCGUUUCCUUUGGCUGGGCCCUGGUUUAUUUUAUGAAUGACAAAAAUAAACCUCUACUUGUUACUGGUGAAGAAUGGUUUAUGUCUAGCAAGCCCAGAUCCACCAGAAGAUAAACAUAGGAAUACUUUUCUAAGAAUUGAAGGUGUACUUCUUAGCAGCUAACUUCUGUAUUUAUACAAUCGUCAUCCAACUAAGGUGGCUGUCCUCGGGGACUGGGAGGGAAUCGCACAUUUUUUUUCUAAACAUGGAAAUGUUUUGUGUGAUACAAUGUUCCAUAAACACCUGCAAUAUAUCAAUACUCAGAAAAAUGGCUUAUACUUCAAACAGACUUUUGACAGCCUAACAAUUGAGGCCUUUUACAUGACUCAGAUUUUAGUCCAUUUAAUUAUAUUUGAGUGAAGGAUUUGAAUAAAAGAUUUUUCUCUUGUCUAAACCUGGCAUGGCACAGCCUUUCCAAAUGGACUUGAAAGCUAACUAUUCUUCCUUAGUAAGUUGGACUCAUCCUUUUGUCUUUGUUUUUUCCCCUGUACUCCAGAGCUUGAAUUUUGA